AUCCCUCUAGUAUUAAUAUUAAUACAAGUGACUUCCAAUCAUUUAAUCCUGGUUAAACUGCAGGGAGAGAUA
rnacentral:tRNA from 1 species